rnacentral:rRNA from 1 species
CCUACGAGUGGCCGCAGUGAGGAAUAUUGGUUAAUGGACGAGAGUCUGAACCAGCCAAGUAGCGUGAAUGAUGACUGCCCUAUGGGUUGUAAACUUCUUUUAUAUGGUAAUAAAAUGUUCCACGUGUGGGAUUUUGUAUGUACCAUAUGAAUAAGGAUCGGCUAACUCCGUGCCCGCAGCCGCGUUAAUACGGAGGAUCCGAGCGUUAUCCGGAUUUAUUGGGUUUAAAGGGAGCGUAGGUGGGGUGUUAAGUCAGUUGUGAAAGUUUGCGGCUCAACCGUAAAAUUGCAGUUGAAACUGGCAGUCUUGAGUACAGUAGAGGUGGGCGGAAUUCGUGGUGUAGCGGUGAAAUGCUUAGAUAUCACGAAGAACUCCGAUUGCGAAGGCAGCUCACUGGACUGCAACUGACACUGAGGCUCGAAAGUGUGGGUAUCAAACAGGAUUAGAUACCCCGGUAGUC